AGCAGCCGCGGUAAUUCCAGCUCCAAUAGCGUAUAUUAAAGUUGUUGCAGUUAAGAAGCUCGUAGUUGAAUUUCGGGAUCAAUAUGUUGGUCGUGCCUCGGUACGUACUAGCAUAUUGGUUUCUCCUUUCUGAAGAACCAUGAUGUCAUUUAUUUGGUGUCGUGGGGAAUCAGGACUGUUACUUUGAAAAAUUAGAGUGUUUAAAGCAGGCUCACGCUUGAAUACAUUAGCAUGGAAUAAUGAAAUAGGACGUUUGAUUCUAUUUUGUUGGUUUCUAGGAUCGACGUAAUGAUUAAUAGGGAUAGUUGGGGGCAUUAGUAUUCAAUUGUCAGAGGUGAAAUUCUUGGAUUUAUUGAAGACUAACUACUGCGAAAGCAUUUGCCAAGGAUGUUUUCAUUAAUCAAGAACGAAAGUUAGGGGAUCGAAGACGAUCAGAUACCGUCGUAGUCUUAACCAUAAACUAUGCCGACUAGGGAUCGGAUGAUGUUAAUUUUUAAUGACUCAUUCC
rnacentral:misc_RNA from 1 species